GAUGAACGCUGGCGGCGUGCUUAACACAUGCGAGUCGAACGGAAAGGCUCCUGCUUGCAGGGGUACUCGAGUGGCGAACGGGUGAGUAACACGUGAGUAACCUGCCCUUAACUCUGGGAUAAGCCUGGGAAACUGGGUCUAAUACCGGAUAGGAGCGUCCACCGCAUGGUGGGUGUUGGAAAGAUUUAUCGGUUUUGGAUGGACUCGCGGCCUAUCAGCUUGUUGGUGAGGUAAUGGCUCACCAAGGCGACGACGGGUAGCCGGCCUGAGAGGGUGACCGGCCACACUGGGACUGAGACACGGCCCAGACUCCUACGGGAGGCAGCAGUGGGGAAUAUUGCACAAUGGGCGCAAGCCUGAUGCAGCGACGCCGCGUGAGGGAUGACGGCCUUCGGGUUGUAAACCUCUUUCAGUAGGGAAGAAGCGAAAGUGACGGUACCUGCAGAAGAAGCACCGGCUAACUACGUG
rnacentral:rRNA from 1 species